UACAGAGGUCCCAAGCGUUGUUCGGAUUCACUGGGCGUAAAGGGUGCGUAGGUGGUGGGGUAAGUCGGAUGUGAAAGCUCGGAGCUCAACUCCGAAAUGGCAUUGGAAACUACCCUGCUAGAGGAUUGGAGGGGGGACUGGAAUACUUGGUGUAGCAGUGAAAUGCGUAGAUAUCAGGAGGAACACCGAUGGCGAAGGCAGGUCUCUGGGCUGACACUGACGCUCAUGCACGAAAGCGUGGGGAGCAAACAGG
rnacentral:rRNA from 1 species